CCUUCUGGGGCACGAGUCCAUAUAUAUAUAUACACAUAAGAGCCCAGCGAAGGCAGGGCUGCUGCCGCACGGUGGACGUGGCAGGCGGCACUUCCGGCUGGGCUACCGCGGCUGCGGAGGGACAUCCUUCAAGAACAGGCGCCGGUCCCGGCGUCCGCCGCGCAGUUAGGAAACUGACUGUCGCUCUCUCCGGCCUCGGCGCUGCUUUCAAAACAAGGAAACAAGGCAGGAGAGAGUCCAUGAAAUUGGGGGGAGUCCAAAGAGGGAGUGUUUCUGUCCUUGGAACUCACCUUUUCUUCUCUCCAUUUCUCCUCUUCUCCUUCCCAUCUAGUGCAGCAUCUUCACUCCGAAGCAGAAAUUUGCCAAAAAAGCAUCCUCUUUUUAUCAGAAAAUAAAAUAUCCUGGUUUCUUAGCCUGGCAAUUGAGCUAAUCAGUGGAAUCAAGGGAAACUUUUUUGUUUGAGAUGGAGUCUCCCUCUGUCACCCAGGCUGGAGUGCAGUGGCACAGUCUUGGCUUACUGCAACCUCCACCUCCCGGGUUCAAGUGAUUCACCUGCCUCACCUUCCGGAGUAGCUGGGGUUACAAGCAUUCCUGAGACCACAGGCGUGUGCCACCAUGGCUAGCUAAUUUUUGUAUUUUAUUUUUGUAGAGACAGGGUUUUGGGCAAACGUCUAUGAAUUCCAUCA
rnacentral:lncRNA from 1 species